ensembl:lncRNA
GCAACGUCUGACACCACCCGGAGCAGAGCGCACCGAGCCGCGGGUCCACGCUGCUAAAUCAUCCGCUAAACCAGUCGAUCGAUGGAUCAGACGCAUCGGUAGCGGAUACUCGCGUCGAACUGCAAAAUGUGAACGACGUCGAGUUCGUAUGGCGUCUGGCGAUGACAUUUCGAGUGUCUCCACCGCCUUCUAAGAGGAGCUCGGGUUGCAGCCCGAAGCGCUGCGAGUCGCUCGGUGACGUCAAAGCGAUGAUCAAGACCUCGAGGGACGCGAGCUUGCUGCCAGAGCGGAGUAAAUUGCCAUACAUUCCCAGUUUAGCCAUUUUGCAAAUUUAACCAAAAGUCUCCUAGCGACAAAAGGACAAGAGGCCGGCGGGAGUCAUUUUCUGUUUGACAAAACAUAUGAUCAUAUACAACGGACCGGAACCCUGAACCCACCUCUGCCAAAGAACUAUCACGUGCACCGGACCGGAAAACUGCAGCCUAUUGGCGCCCCCCAUGGGCAAGGCCGGCCCCUCUCCCUGAGCUCCUGUGAAGGCUACAGCCUCGGCACUAACCCAACGUUCCUCUUACCCUCUGCGUUGGUCCUCAACAAGAGGAACACCCUCUCCGUGGACCACUGCCUGUUAAACAGGCCUAAAGGGAAUCAACGCACCUACAACCUGUUGACCAUCAAAGACAUUCAAAAAGGUCAGGGGUCGUUCCCGGACCCUGUGGCAGGGGCCCCGUACCCCUUCCUCCAGAGGGUCUCUGAGCUGGCGGCUCUGGAGGGGGACACGGCCCGGCAGGAGAAGCUGGUGAAGAUGACUAAGAACAGAAAGCAGGAGUCCUGAUGAGCCCACAACAUCAUCUCAGAGGAAACCCCUAGAGUAGAACCACCUCGUCUUCGAGGGGACCUCAUCGGUGAAUCCACGGGUCCAGGAUCCAAACAUCUCCCAUGGUGCCAAAGUUAUACAGACUUUUAUCGGUUGCGUCAGUUUCCUGCGUCAGUGUAUUGAUUUAUACUUUCUGUUCCUCGAUAGUGUUUGCCGACAACAGUGAAGUCUGCUCUUUAUUUCAGGUAUAAGUUGUCAGUAUUUCCCUUCUGUUAUCUAAAAUUGUUCUUGAUCAUUCUUGCGCAUCCCCUGAAAGAAAUAGCACAUAUUUACUUCAAAACUGUCUGUGUAUCAGUAUCUACAUUGGAUUGCAAGUCUGGCACAUCAACAGACUGGCUUUUCUAUCCCAUUUUGGCCCAGUUAGCAUUUUGGGCCAAAAUGCUAACUGGCUUUCCAGUAUUUGGCAUUUAUUCACAUUGAAACAAUAAAUGUAUUGUGGAGUUUUUCUGAGGUCAAUAUCUUUGAUGUACACUUAUGGUUAUUCUGUGUUUAUCACACACAGUAGGCUGAAUCGUAUGGGAG